GUCAGGAUGGCCGAGCGGUCUAAGGCGCCAGACUCAAGAUGUAAGUCUUGCCUGCUCCUGCAGGUUAUAUGGGCGUUCUGGUCCUCUCUGAGGGCGUGGGUUCGAAUCCCACUCCUGACA
rnacentral:tRNA from 1 species